GAUGAACGCUGGCGGCGUGCCUAAUACAUGCAAGUCGAGCGAACGGACGAGAAGCUUGCUUCUCUGAUGUUAGCGGCGGACGGGUGAGUAACACGUGGAUAACCUACCUAUAAGACUGGGAUAACUUCGGGAAACCGGAGCUAAUACCGGAUAAUAUUUUGAACCGCAUGGUUCAAAAGUGGAAGACGGUCUUGCUGUCACUUAUAGAUGGAUCCGCGCUGCAUUAGCUAGUUGGUAAGGUAACGGCUUACCAAGGCAACGAUGCAUAGCCGACCUGAGAGGGUGAUCGGCCACACUGGAACUGAGACACGGUCCAGACUCCCACGGGAGGCAGCAGUAGGGAAUCUUCCGCAAUGGGCGAAAGCCUGACGGAGCAACGCCGCGUGAGUGAUGAAGGUCUUCGGAUCGUAAAACUCUGUUAUUAGGGAAGAACAUAUGUGUAAGUAACUGCGCACAUCUUGACGGUACCUAAUCAGAAAGCCACGGCUAACUACGUG
rnacentral:rRNA from 1 species